rnacentral:rRNA from 1 species
CAGUCGCCACGGUAAUACAGAGGGUGCGAGCGUUAAUCGGAUUUACUGGGCGUAAAGCGUGCGUAGGCGGCUUCUUAAGUCGGAUGUGAAAUCCCUGAGCUUAACUUAGGAAUUGCAUUCGAUACUGGGAAGCUAGAGUAUGGGAGAGGAUGGUAGAAUUCCAGGUGUAGCGGUGAAAUGCGUAGAGAUCUGGAGGAAUACCGAUGGCGAAGGCAGCCAUCUGGCCUAAUACUGACGCUUAGGUACGAAAGCAUGGGGAGCAAACAGGAUUAGAUACCCGUGUAGUCCCUGUCUCUUAUAA